rnacentral:lncRNA from 1 species
AUAUAGGUCCCAUUUCAUUCGUAGACAUAUGCAUACUCAUCACUUAUCAUCAUUUUUUUUUUUGAAAAGACCAUUGUUUGGAAAGGUUGUUGUCUAACCAUGAAAGAUGCUUGAAUUCUUGGGCUCCUUAGAGGAAGAAUUCAACCCGGGGCCAGUGAUGAGGCUUGAUCAGUCAGAGCUUUUGUGUCCCAACGUUUUAUUAAAGUAUAAAAGAGAGAAAGCUUCUGACAUAGACAUCAGAAGGGGGCAGAAAGAGUGCCCCCCUACUCAUCUUUGGCUGGAUGUUAUCUAGCUACUAGCAGUCUACUCAUUAGAGAAAGGAAUGGCAGCAGACCCCUCACCCACAAGAUAUAUGGAGAUGACCGUGGCACCAGGUGAGUCAUCCUGGGCCAUAAAACGAUUGAUAUGAGCAAAUGGAUAGCUUCAUUCACAUAGAUCAGGAGAGCCAUGUAUGAGUAAAGCAUAUUGGUUUGUCAAGUCAGUUCUGAGCCUUUAGGCAGAACCUACUUGAAGAUAGAGUCUAGGGUAAAUACAUAGUACAUUCACAUAGCUUAAGGCAAACCUUUCCAUGAGAAAAAUGCCUUGGUCAGCUCAAAGUAUGAGAAAAGUGAAGUUCAGGCAGAACCAGGUGUCAUUAUAGCAACACAGAUUUGUAAGAGAAAAAUCUCUUUUUAAAUUUGUAUCAAGAAGGGGAC